GACGAACGCUGGCGGCGUGCCUAAUACAUGCAAGUCGAGCGAAGUUUUUCUGGUUCUUGCACUAGAAACACUUAGCGGCGCACGGGUGAGUAACACGUAAAGAACCUGCCUCAUAGACUGGGACAACUAUUGGAAACGAUAGCUAAUACCGGAUAACAGUAUUUCUCGCAUGAGAGAUAUUUAAAAGUUGGUUAUGCUAACACUAUGAGAUGGCUUUGCGGUGCAUUAGCUAGUUGGUGGGGUAAAGGCCCACCAAGGCGACGAUGCAUAGCCGACCUGAGAGGGUGAUCGGCCACACUGGGACUGAGACACGGCCCAGACUCCUACGGGAGGCAGCAGUAGGGAAUCUUCCGCAAUGGGCGAAAGCCUGACGGAGCAACGCCGCGUGAGUGAAGAAGGAUUUCGGUUCGUAAAGCUCUGUUGUUAGGGAAGAAUGGAUAUGUAGUAACUAUACAUGUAAGAGACGGUACCUAACCAGAAAGCCACGGCUAACUACGUG
rnacentral:rRNA from 1 species